rnacentral:lncRNA from 1 species
AUGUUGACCCCGCCAGAACCACUUGCAUACCUGGGCCACUUCGGGAGCUACUGCCCACACGGGGACCUGUGGCUGGCAGCCAAAUGCCUGGGGAGCCUUUUUAACCUUGCUGCCUGGGACUGUGGAAUGCUGGGGAGGCCUGCCGGAGCUGUGCGCCAGGCUGCCACCCUCCAGGUGCCCGCAGGCUCUGCCGGUUGUAGCUCACCCCUCCCUGCUGUUUUCUCCAGCCUGAGGCUGCGCACGAGGUUCCGCCCCUGGGGCUGGGCUGUUCCCAGAGGUCAAGGAGCGAAAGGGGCGGGGCCCGUGCUCGCCUGCUCUGUCCCACAGGCUCCCUCAGGUUUUGGUCCCAGAUACUAUCUGAAGGAUAGAGAAGGAGACGGAAAGCAGAGAGAGAGCUUGAAGGGUCUCACUCUGUCAUCCAGGUUGGAGUGCAGUGGCAUCAUCAAAGCUCCCUGCAGCCUCAACCUCCUGAGCUCAAGCAAUUCUCUUUCCUCAGCCUCCCAGAGCAGAAUCCAGUCAUAA